AGCUAAUACCGCAUACGACCUACGGGUGAAAGGGGGCUUUUAGCUCUCGCUAUUAGAUGAGCCUAAGUCGGAUUAGCUGGUUGGUGGGGUAAAGGCCUACCAAGGCGACGAUCUGUAGCUGGUCUGAGAGGAUGAUCAGCCACACUGGGACUGAGACACGGCCCAGACUCCUACGGGAGGCAGCAGUGGGGAAUAUUGGACAAUGGGCGAAAGCCUGAUCCAGCCAUGCCGCGUGUGUGAAGAAGGCCUUUUGGUUGUAAAGCACUUUAAGUGGGGAGGAAAAGCUUAUGGUUAAUACCCAUAAGCCCUGACGUUACCCACAGAAUAAGCACCGGCUAACUCUGUGCCAGCAGCCGCGGUAAUACAGAGGGUGCAAGCGUUAAUCGGAAUUACUGGGCGUAAAGCGCGCGUAGGUGGUUAUUUAAGUCAGAUGUGAAAGCCCCGGGCUUAACCUGGGAACUGCAUCUGAUACUGGAUAACUAGAGUAGGUGAGAGGGGAGUAGAAUUCCAGGUGUAGCGGUGAAAUGCGUAGAGAUCUGGAGGAAUACCGAUGGCGAAGGCAGCUCCCUGGCAUCAUACUGACGCUGAGGUGCGAAAGCGUGGGUAGCAAACAGGAUUAGAUACCCUGGUAGUCCACGCCGUAAACGAUGUCUAUCUAGUCGUUGGGUCUUUUAAAGACUUAGUGACGCAGUUAACGCAAUAAGUAGACCGCCU
rnacentral:rRNA from 1 species